GUUCUUGCUUUGUCAGUACACACACUAAAACUGGCACAACACAGAGAAGAUUAGCAUGGCCCUUGCACAAGGAGAACAUGCAAAUUCAUAAAAUGUUCCAUAGUUUU